rnacentral:lncRNA from 1 species
GCACAUGUAUAUAAAAUUUUAAAAUAACAAUAAUAUUAUUAGCGGAGCGGAUUUGGUGCAGGUGUGAGGUGGAUAUCAACAUCCUCAAAUCCGUUCUCACCCUCCGAGUUUUAUUUUCAGGGAAAAUCUGCACCAAAUUAAAACGGGUUUUCUCCACUCAAACCGGGAUGGGUUUGGGUGGAAACCCGCGAGUGCGAAUUUUGUUGUCAUCACUACACUUAAGGAAGAUAUUGUUGAGUUAAAAUGUGAGUGAUUAAUCUCAUAAUAACUAUGAAUGAAAUAAAUAUUAGAUAUAUAAGAUAUGUGACUCAUUUACAUGAUGUCUUAAGGUGUGAGUCAAAAUCUCUUAUAAUGUUAUAUAACAUUGGUAUGUUGUUACUCCCAAUACUCCCCAUAACACCUCAACACUAAGAAUAUACAAAAUUUUAUAUUACAUACCAAUUUAAAUAAUUCUUUUAUUUUUCUUUUAACCCUUCUUUUUCAAGUUUUGUAAUGAGCUAUAAAAAGGAAAAGAAUCGUGUUCAUGAGGUUUAUAAUCUAAACAAUAAUUUUUUCACCAAAUGAUAUCAUAGAUAUAAUAUUAAAAUAACUUGAUGAGUGAACUUUGAAUACAAGACAUUCUCUAUCUCACGUGAGCUAAUUUUAUGAUUCGAUGAAGGAUUUUAAGUAUAACACUAGAUAUAAAUUAUAA